CUGUUCAUUCUCUCUCUCUCUCUCUCUUUCAUAUCAAUAAAUAAAACCUUAAAAAAAAAAAAAGGCCCAGCAACCAAACAUCCAUUUUACACUUUAAAUCCUGGGCUGGGGACGCCUGGGUGGCUCAGUGGUUUGGGCUGCUGCCUUCGGCUCGGGUCAUGAUCUCAGGGUCCUGGGAUCGAGCCCCGCAUCGGGCUCUCUGCUCCGCAGGAAGCCUGCUUCCCUCUCUCUCUCUCUCUCUGCCUGCCUCUCUGCCUACUUGUGAUCUCUGUCUGUCAAAUAAAUAAAUUAAAUCUUUAAAAAAAAAUAAAUAAAAUAAAUCCUGGGCUGGUGUUGCUUUUCAGUCAUUUUUUUGGUAAAGAGGCAAUUAGCUACCCAAGUUAUUUGCUUUUUUUGUUGUUGUCCAAGGGUAAUUGAAGAUAUUACAGCAGAAAGAUUCAAAUGGCUCUAUGAGGUGUUUUGAAAUUCAUCCCAACUCUAGACAGAGUGACCUGCAGACUACAGACUGCCCAAGACCAAGACCGUCAACAUUUCCUCAGUGUCAGGAUCCACUGCCAUGGUCUCCUGCCCCAGCACUGAGACCUCAGGAAUAGCUUCUUGACGGGAAUAAUGGCAUCUCCUCACACACGGGUUUGUUGGUAUGGAAGAGGUUGCCCAGGCACGUGUAGUACUUCUUGAUGACCACGCGGCCCAUUCUUCAUGGCUUUGGUGCCAAUGCAGCACAGGUUGGUGGGUCUCGUAAAGGAGGAAACAGUACUAUGCAAGUUAUUAAGGACAAGUGGCAAGUCUGCCAGAACUUUCUGUUAUUUCCAAUUCCUAAAAAUACCUUUUAUGGAAACAAUAAUGUGGUCAUGUAAAAAUCAUCCAAAGUUAUUUGAAGAGGCAAAUACAGACUGUACAAACCAUAGCAAAGGAACAUCCAAAUCACAGACCCAAUUCUCUUGACCAUUUGGUGUGGGGGGGUCUUUCUAUUUAUAAACUGCUAACAAUUCCCCUAUAAACUUAUUAUUCUGAAAAUGGUAUUUAACUUCUUCCAAGUAAUAAAAUUGUUUGAGAGUAUUAGUAAUUUGAA